rnacentral:rRNA from 1 species
CCUACGGGUGGCUGCAGUGGGGAAUUUUGGACAAUGGGGGCAACCCUGAUCCAGCCAUUCCGCGUGAGUGAAGAAGGCCUUCGGGUUGUAAAGCUCUUUUGUCCGGAGCGAAACGGGCGGCCCUAAUACGGUCGUCUACUGACGGUACCGGAAGAAUAAGCACCGGCUAACUACGUGCCAGCAGCCGCGGUAAUACGUAGGGAACGAGCGUUAAUCGGAAUUGCUGGGCGGGUAUCGUGAGCAGGCGGUGAACGCCCCGGGCUCAACCGGGGAAUGGCAUUUGGGACUGCAAGGCUGGAGUGUGGCAGAGGGGACUAGAAUUCCUGGUGUAGCAGUGAAAUGCGUAGAUAUCAGGAGGAAUACCGAUGGCGAAGGCAGGUCCCUGGGUUAACACUGACGCUCAUGCACGAAAGCGUGGGGAGCAAACAGGAUUAGAUACCCCAGUAGUC